CUCUUUGUCAAUGAUGUUUUAAGUCAAAUGUCUGAACAUAUGAAUUUCAGUGAUUCUUAUUUUUUUAAUUUUUUUACUGAGACAAGAG
rnacentral:snoRNA from 1 species